rnacentral:rRNA from 1 species
CUACGGGCGGCAGCAGUGAGGAAUAUUGCACAAUGGGGGGAACCCUGAUGCAGCAACGCCGCGUGGAGGAUGACGCAUUUCGGUGUGUAAACUCCUUUUAUAUGUCAAGAAAAUGACGGUAGCAUAUGAAUAAGCACCGGCUAACUCCGUGCCAGCAGCCGCGGUAAUACGGAGGGUGCAAGCGUUACUCGGAAUCACUGGGCGUAGAGGACGCGUAGGCGGGUUGAAAAGUCAGGUGUGAAAGCCUACAGCUUAACUGUAGAACUGCACUUGAAACUCUCAACCUAGAGUAUGGGAGGGGCAGAUGGAAUUAGUGGUGUAGGGGUAAAAUCCGUAGAUAUCACUAGGAAUACCUAAAGCGAAGGCGAUCUGCUGGAACAUUACUGACGCUAAGGCGUGAAAGCGUGGGGAGCAAACAGGAUUAGAUACCCCAGUAGUC